GAAAGGGCUUUCUGAGCCAGGACGCAGGUAGAACAGGAAGAACAGGAAGAACAGGUAGAACAGGAAGUGUUAGGUAGAACAGGUAGAACAGGAAGAACAGGUAAAACAAGUAGAACAGGUAGAACAGGAAGAACAGGUAGAACAGGAAGAACAGGAAGAACAGGUAGAACAGGUAGAACAGGUAGAACAGGAAGCGUUAGGUAGAACAGGUAGAACAGGUAGAACAAGUAGAACAGGUAGAACAGGUAGAACAGGAAGAACAGGAAGCGUUAGGUAGAACAGGAAGAACAGGAAGAACAGGAAGCGUUAGGUAGAACAGGAAGAACAGGUAGAACAGGUAGAACAGGAAGAACAGGAAGCGUUAGGUAGAACAGGAAGAACAGGUAGAACAGGAAGCGUUAGGUAGAACAGGUAGAACAGGAAGAACAGGUAAAACAAGUAGAACAGGUAGAACAGGAAGAACAGGUAGAACAGGAAGAACAGGUAGAACAGGAAGAACAGGAAGAACAGGAAGAACAGGUAGAACAGGAAGAACAGGAAGAACAGGAAGAACAGGUAGAACAGGAAGAACAGGUAGAACAGGUAGAACAGGAAGCGUUAGGUAGAACAGGAAGAACAGGUAGAACAAGUAGAACAGGAAGAACAGGAAGAACAGGAAGAACAGGUAGAACAGGUAGAACAGGUAGAACAGGAAGCGUUAGGUAGAACAGGAAGAACAGGUAGAACAGGUAGAACAGGUAGAACAGGUAGAACAGGAAGAACAGGUAGAACAGGUAGAACAGGUAGAACAGGAAGAACAGGAAGAACAGGUAGAACAGGUAGAACAGGUAGAACAGGAAGAACAGGUAGAACAGGUAGAACAGGAAGCGUUAGGUAGAACAGGAAGAACAGGUAGAACAGGUAGAACAGGUAGAACAGGUAGAACAGGAAGAACAGGAAGAACAGGUAGAACAGGAAGAACAGGAAGAACAGGUAGAACAGGUAGAACAGGUAGAACAGGUAGAACAGGAAGAACAGGAAGAACAGGAAGAACAGGAAGCGUUAGGUAGAACAGGAAGAACAGGAAGAACAGGUAGAACAGGAAGCGUUAGGUAGAACAGGAAGAACAGGAAGAACAGGUAGAACAGGAAGAACAGGAAGAACAGGAAGAACAGGAAGCGUUAGGUAGAACAGGAAGAACAGGAAGAACAGGAAGCGUUAGGUAGAACAGGUAGAACAGGAAGAACAGGUAGAACAGGUGGAACAGGUAGAACAGGUAGAACAGGAAGAACAGGAAGAACAGGUAGAACAGGUAGAACAGGUAGAACAGGAAGAACAGGUAGCGUUAGGUAGAACAGGAAGAACAGGUAGAACAGGAAGAACAGGAAGAACAGGUAGAACAGGAAGCGUUAGGUAGAACAGGAAGAACAGGUAGAACAGGUGGAACAGGUAGAACAGGUAGAACAGGAAGAACAGGAAGAACAGGUAGAACAGGUAGAACAGGUAGAACAGGAAGAACAGCUAGAACAGGUAGCGUUAGGUAGAACAGGAAGAACAGGUAGAACAGGAAGAACAGGUAGAACAGGAAGAACAGGUAGAACAGGUAGCGUUUGGUAGAACAGGUAGAACAGGACGAACAGGUAGAACAGGUAGAACAGGUAGAACAGGUAGCGUUUGGUAGAACAGGUAGAACAGAAAGAACAGGAAGAACAGGUAGCGUUUGGUAGAACAGGUAGAACAGGUAGAACAGGUAGCGUUUGGUAGAACAGGUAGAGGUAUAAAGU